UGAGCUUCUCGGCCUUUUGGCUAAGAUCAAGUGUAGUAAAUGUUUUACAGUUUGAGCUCUUACAUUUAGAUAACUUGAUGCAUUUUGAGUUAAUUUUGGCAUAUGGUGUGAGGUAGGGAUCCAACCUCAUUCUUCUGCAAGUGGAGACGUAGUUUUCCCAGAAGUGUUUGUUCAGAAGGCUAUCC